rnacentral:rRNA from 1 species
UACGGAGGGGGCUAGCGUUGUUCGGAAUUACUGGGCGUAAAGCGCACGUAGGCGGCUUCGUAAGUUAGAGGUGAAAGCCCAGGGCUCAACCCUGGAAUUGCCUUUAAGACUGCAUCGCUUGAACAUCGGAGAGGUAAGUGGAAUUCCGAGUGUAGAGGUGAAAUUCGUAGAUAUUCGGAAGAACACCAGUGGCGAAGGCGACUUACUGGACGAUUGUUGACGCUGAGGUGCGAAAGCGCGGGGAGCAAACAGG